GCCUGGCGGCUGUAGCGCGGUGGUCCCACCUGACCCCAUGCCGAACUCAGAAGUGAAACGCCGUAGCGCCGAUGGUAGUGUGGGGUCUCCCCAUGCGAGAGUAGGGAACUGCCAGGCA
rnacentral:rRNA from 1 species